GCAGAGCGUCCCGCCCUCGCUGUUCCCGCGCCCGGGGCAGGAAGGCGCGCUGGGCAGUUAGGUGCCCUCAGGGUGCCAGGCUCGUCAGACUGCUGGCCUUUCAGUCAUGUAUUCCAAUAUUUUGAGAAGGCCUACUGUGUGCCAGGCGCUGGGCCCCAGGGAGCGAAGCCGUCGUGCCGCCGCCGUAAUUGUACGCGGGUGCAGGGGUGCAGGGCUGGAAGCAGAUGCCUACUUGGUGCUGGUGUCAUUCCCAAAGGGGAGGCCAUCGCUGGUGCACAGGGAGGCUGGGUGGACAGAAUCUUCCUUUUUCUGCCACCCCCCAAAGCCAUCUAGUGAGAGGUGCUGCCAGCUUUGAAGGUUCCCUGCUCUCCCUGGUCCUCUGGUUCUCUUCAGACUCAUCUCGAGAGGAUGGACUGUCCCAGUGGGUCUCCGACUGUGGCUGUAACGACCUGCUGCUCCACCAAAGCUUCUGACCUUGAAAAGACCCUGAGGCAACAUGGAGGAGGAAAAGCUCAGAGAGGCAAAUGACUUACUCAACAUCACACGGCUAGGAGAUAGCUGAGCUGGGAAUAAAUGUGAGCUCACUUUGACUCCAGAGCCCCUUCUUAGGCUAUAAAAUAAUGCUUAUAUCAAAGGGUAGGAAGUUGACCUGAAAUUCUGAGAUUCUGCCUUCAGUCUACGUUUCCUAGCCCCAUCUUAGUUGUUGAGAAUAAUACUGCAAUGAGCAUGAGUGCAGGGAUCUCUUAGAGGCAGCCGCACAAAGAAUGCUGUGUGGCCUUUAAAAGAGAUGGUGUAAAAGUUCCCGUUGUGGCUCAGUGGGUUAAGAACACGACAUAGUGCCCACAAGGAUGAGGGUUCAAUCCCUGGCCUCGCUCAGUGAAUUAAG